rnacentral:lncRNA from 1 species
CCCUUUUCUGACAUCGGAAGCAUUAAAUGCCCUUUUCUGCCAUCGAAAGUAAUUUUUUUGGCUUGUCAUGCUCUUUUGCUUUGUUAUUUCAAAUGCUGCCACUCUCUCUCCACCCUCGGAGUCACUCUCCUUCCUCCUUGAGCUCCGAGGCAUCCCAAGUCAAUCUUGCUCCGACUGUUUCAUGUGAUAGAAGGUUUUGGGCAGUAUUUUUUUUUCAAAAUUGCUCGAUGAUAGCAUGUCGGGCUAGUCAGAAAGUAAAAACACCAUUGCUGUCUCUCUUUUUUUUAAAGUAGUUUAUGUAUCAGAGCAUCUCCGUAGGUAGUUAGACGAAGUUAAUGCCUUAGCUAGGUUCCACGUCGACUUCUGUCUUCGAUUUUGACCCUCGAUCACCAUGGCCCCUCUUUUUUUUUAAUAGUUUAUUUAUCACAAUUUCUUCGUAGAUAAUUAGACGAAGUCAUUGUCUUGGCUAGGUUCCACGUAGAGUUCUACCUUCGAUUUUGACCUCCGAUCCUAGUAUCGAAAUAGUUCCUGAUGGCAUCUUUUCAAACAAAUAUGCUAUCACACCCCUCGAUUAUGACAUCCCACAAAUCGAGUAUGACAUUCUAGAGUUAAGGAUGGUCGUACAGUCGAUUGUGGCAUCCUCUAAGCCGAUUAUGAGUUUCUGUAAUCUUUCUAUGACAUCCUAGAACCCAUGCAAGUACCUUUUUUUUGGUAGAAGAACGACAUCCUGUACUUUCUUCACUUCAUGACAUCCUGGGUGCAGAUUAUAACUUGCUGUGGUCAUAGGAUGUUCU